rnacentral:lncRNA from 1 species
CCUUAAGCCAUCACAUAACAUCAUCAAUAAUACCACUCUUAUUUUGCCGCAUGUACAAUAUCAAGAAAUUCCAUCCUUAUUUCAUAACAUGGGCAUGUCACCACCCUUAUUUCACCACAUGGGCAAGCCCGAUAAACACCACCCUUAUUUCGCCCUAUGCGCCCGUCCAGCCAUUUCUGAAAUGGGAACAAGGAAACAUUAUAAUGAAUUUUAUAACUAUUCUAUAUGACAACAUAUGUCAUAAUAACUCAUAGAAGAGAAAUUAAGUUUAAGGGUCAUAUUCUCCUUUAUAAAUUUUCGACCCUUUCAGGACCACUUAAGUAACAGCCACAGGAAUGACUUAAGACUUGGAUUAAGCCCUUCACUUAGGAUCAAUUGCAUUUAUUAUUUAUUAACCUUGUGGAAGACCGACACAUUGCCUAAGUUCUUCAUUCUGCAACAUCAUCUCCUUUUAUAUAGGAAUGAAAUUAAAACGUAACAGUUGGCAAUGUUAACAUCUUAACUAGUGCGUAUUCCUUCUUACGGAAAUUUUUUUACUUUUUGGAAUCAAAUACCAAGAUCAUAACAAUCAAAUCAUCUUUGAUACUUGGGAGGAAACAACUUAUUGUUAAUUUUGUGGUUAAAGUGGAAAGAUUAAAUUGGGUAGGACUAAGGACCUACUACCACUGCUUCCGCUAAAACAGAAAAAACCAAAGACAGUGGUGAAUAUCGCAGGCAAAGCGGCUGACUCCGUCGUAUCUUUAAAAUAACAAAUCACUUCAUUCAACUAUGUAUUUAAACUAGAAUAUAUACACCAUACAUUGCUGUGAUACCAUUGUCAGAUAAAAUGAGGGGCGAGAAUAACGAGUUGUGUACCUUGUUGACGCAGCGAAAACCGUUGAACUCACCACCGUAAGAAUUACCCCAAAUCAACCUUUGAAUCACUAGGAAACAAACUGUAUUCCCACCAACUAAAUAUCUCUUUAUCUAUGUGUGUAUUUUGGAGAAGAAAGAAAUUUAGAAAUUCCUUCAAGAAAGAGAAGAAGUACGUUACUUCUUGGGCAGAUUCAGAGAGUAGUUUUUUUGGAUUUUUUA